AGCGUCAGGUUGGCGCUGCGCAGCUCGGGGUCCUUGGUGAGGUCGAGCGUGCGGCAGUAGGGCGGCUCGUUGAGGUAGCGGUUGAGGGAGCUGCGGAUGCUGAUGAGCGACGACUUGCUGUAGAGCUGGCCGCUCUUGGAGCGCGCCUCGGCGUAGAAGGAGCGCAGCACGCGGCACAGCGCCCCCUUGUCCAUGGUCUCGAAGUCCGGGCUCUGCGCCUUCUCGCUCAGCCUUUUCAGAUGCUGCCUGGACAGUUUGCAAACCACCGGCAGGCCUCCCGCCGGCAUCACGGACCAAGGACGCACCUUGGAGAGCGCGCCGGGCCCUGGUCCGACCGAGGCUGAGUCGGCUCCUGGCGCCAGUCCUUGACCCGCUUCCAAAAUCCUCUGCCAUCACAUGUUGGAAAACACCUCUUGAGAGUUUCACUACUGAAUUCCUUGGACUUCCAUUGAAGACCGUCUUGAGCAAUGUUUUUCUGAACUCGGAUGAAAACAGAACCCGUGCCAUGCAACUCUACAAAGUGGAAGAAGAAAAUUUCAGAAGAGCAAGGUCUAUGUCUUAUCGGUCACGGCGGGCCUGAUUCCCUGCCAGCAGAGUUCCCGAGCAUGUGGCUGGCACACGGUGGACGCCCGUCUCCUAGAUGUUUUUAAAGCAAGUAGUCUGAGGGGAACGUAGUUCUCCAGAAGGCCAUUGUGUUCUUGUGGAGCCUAAGAUAUUCUGCUGUCAUCGUAUUCUGAUAACAAAACUUCAUCUGCUCAAUAAAGAAGUCCAGGGUGAGGGCUGUCAACGUUCAAGUAAAAUUAAUAUAGUUUCUUUACCUUCGUAACAUAUCUUUAAAGGGUGUGUAGGACUGAAGUGGAUGUUAGUCCUAUUAUUCAAUGACCUUUAUUUCAGUGUCACUGCAAUACUAAUUAAGGUGGAAACGGAGAUAUGUGUUAAUGUCUUGUAACAAAUACAUGUAUUUUAAAUAAUGGAGGAGCCAUGAAAGCGUUCAUAUUCUAGGGCCCAGAAAUUGCCUCUGGGAAUUCAUCUUCUUAAGAAAUACCGAGUUCUAUUUGCAUUUUGGUCAAGUUGGGCUCAUUGCACAGAGACAACUUGGGCAGGUGGGUUUCAGUGUGUGUGCAGUGUGCUCCGCAGCCGCCUGUCCCGAUGGCGGAGACCUGCCUCUGCUCACAGGCGUUAGAGAGCUCGCGGUCGCUGGGUGAAGCGAGGGAGACGCAGGGAGGCCUGUGCUGUAUCGGGCCAGGCGCCUUGGAGGGCGAUCCAUCCGUAUGACGGUGGAGACAAAGGAUGUGAAGGAAAAGGGCAAAGCAGGAUCCGCUCAAAGCUCCUAUGGCCACGCCUUCGUGACUUUGAGAACGUUCAGGACCAGAUUUGGAAGCUCUGGAUGUCGGAACUGAGUACCUGGGAAUCUGGUGGCAAUUCAGGGAUGUGCUGAGGAGCGGGUCUAGGCCUGCCCCGUGGCUAUGUUUCUAAAUGAACUAAAAAAGAAAAAAAAAAUCCCCUUUUAAAUACCCAGAAGCACUAACCCACAUUUUGAACUAAUUGACUUGCUUUUUCUUAGGAAAGCUUAAUUUAGCCGUGAGGGGCGCAUCUGAAUAUUUAAAGACGCCCUGGAUGGGUUUGUUCUAUUUCUUUACUUUGAUGCUGGAGACCCAGGCUUGGCACCGGACAGGGGAGGACAGCCCUGGAGAGGGGCGGGGGCA